AACGAACGCUGGCGGCAGGCUUAACACAUGCAAGUCGAGCGCCCCGCAAGGGGAGCGGCAGACGGGUGAGUAACGCGUGGGAACGUACCCUUUACUACGGAAUAGCUCCGGGAAACUGGAAUUAAUACCGUAUGUGCCCUACGGGGGAAAGAUUUAUCGGCAAAGGAUCGGCCCGCGUUGGAUUAGCUAGUUGGUGGGGUAAUGGCCUACCAAGGCGACGAUCCAUAGCUGGUCUGAGAGGAUGAUCAGCCACAUUGGGACUGAGACACGGCCCAAACUCCUACGGGAGGCAGCAGUGGGGAAUAUUGGACAAUGGGCGCAAGCCUGAUCCAGCCAUGCCGCGUGAGUGAUGAAGGCCUAGGGUUGUAAAGCUCUUUCACCGGAGAAGAUAAUGACGGUAUCCGGAGAAGAAGCCCCGGCUAACUUCGUGCCAGCCGCCGCGGUAACAC
rnacentral:rRNA from 1 species